GAUGAACGCUGGCGGCGUGCCUAAUACAUGCAAGUCGAGCGAACAGACGAGGAGCUUGCUCCUCUGACGUUAGCGGCGGACGGGUGAGUAACACGUGGAUAACCUACCUAUAAGACUGGGAUAACUUCGGGAAACCGGAGCUAAUACCGGAUAAUAUCUUGAACCGCAUGGUUCAAUAGUGAAAGACGGCUUUGCUGUCACUUAUAGAUGGAUCUGCGCCGCAUUAGCUAGUUGGUAAGGUAACGGCUUACCAAGGCAACGAUGCGUAGCCGACCUGAGAGGGUGAUAGGCCACACUGGAACUGAGACACGGUCCAGACUCCUACGGGAGGCAGCAGUAGGGAAUCUGCCGCAAUAGGCGAAAGCCUGACGGAGCGACCCCGCGUGAAUGAUAACGGUCUCCGGAUCGUAAAGCUCUGUUAUUGGGGAAAAACAAAUGUGUAAGUAGCUAUGGCCGUCUUGACGGUACCUAAUCAGAAAGCCACGGCUAACUACGUG
rnacentral:rRNA from 1 species